GCCCGAAUGGCGGAAUUGGUAUACGCGUUCGACUUAAAAUCGAAUGAGGAAACUCAUAUGGGUUCAAGUCCCAUUUCGGGCACCA
rnacentral:tRNA from 1 species